UGGGCGAAGCCUGAUCCAGCCAUGCCGCGUGUGUGAAGAAGGCUUUCGGGUUGUAAAGCACUUUCAGUGAGGAAGAACGCCUUGGGGCUAAUACCCCCGAGGGAAGACAUCACUCACAGAAGAAGCACCGGCUAACUCCGUGCCAGCAGCCGCGGUAAUACGGAGGGUGCAAGCGUUAAUCGGAAUUACUGGGCGUAAAGCGCGCGUAGGCGGCGUGAUAAGCCGGUUGUGAAAGCCCCGGGCUCAACCUGGGAACGGCAUCCGGAACUGUCAGGCUAGAGUGCAGGAGAGGAAGGUAGAAUUCCCGGUGUAGCGGUGAAAUGCGUAGAGAUCGGGAGGAAUACCAGUGGCGAAGGCGGCCUUCUGGACUGACACUGACGCUGAGGUGCGAAAGCGUGGGUAGCAAACAGGAUUAGAUACCCUGGUAGUCCACGCCGUAAACGAUGUCGACUAGCCGUUGGGGUCCUAGAGACCUUUGUGGCGCAGUUAACGCGAUAAGUCGACCGCCUGGGGAGUACGGCCGCAAGGUUAAAACUCAAAUGAAUUGACGGGGGCCCGCACAAGCGGUGGAGCAUGUGGUUUAAUUCGAUGCAACGCGAAGAACCUUACCUACCCUUGACAUCGUGCGAACUUGGUAGAGAUACCUUGGUGCCUUCGGGAGCGCACAGACAGGUGCUGCAUGGCUGUCGUCAGCUCGUGUUGUGAAAUGUUUUGGUUAAGUCCCGUAACGAGCGCAACCCUUGUCCCUAUUUGCCAGCGAUUCGGUCGGGAACUCUAGGGAGACUGCCGGUGACAACCGGAAGAAGGGUGGGGGACGACGUCAGUCAUCAUGGUCUUA
rnacentral:rRNA from 1 species